CUAGGUCUUUGAAACCAGAGCAGAGCAUGGGAUUUCCUAUGAUGGAUGUAAAUGGUAGUCCUGUAUAGUACCCAUCCUGGGACUACCUGGUUGCUGGAGCAUCUGAGCGUGGUGAAGCCACUUGCUGCAACAGGGCACUUAAGCACAGCCUGUAGAGCCACGUGUACCGAUCCAGUUGGUAAUUACUGGAGUCAUUUUCUCCAGUCUGGGAGUGAAGUGGUCACGGGAGUCACAUUCUGGGUGAGAAAGAAAAGCUUUGUACAGAGACGUGAGCUUUAAUCAGGGGACAGCAGACAAGCAUUUUAGAAAGUCUCCCCUUGCCUCGCGGUGAUGAAGAAUAAAUGACCCACCAGCAAAUGACUCCCUACGCUACUGCUACAGCUCCCUGGAAAUACCCACAAUGCUUCUGCCUGGAUUUCAAAGAUGGUCUGGGCCUCACUGUGGUCAUUAGUGCUGUAGGAAAAACAGCAGUCGAUCAAUGGAUUGACUCUGGGGAGAUGCUUCCGGGUUUCAUCGCUCUAAGCCACAGUUACAAGAUCAUUUCUACGAGAAAUAAAAUUACUGUGAAUAUUUCUGUACAAGCUUUUGUGUUGCAACAUGGUCCUGUGCCUCCUGGGAAAAGCAGAUAGUUUCUUCCAGGGUGCAGCUCCUGCAAGGCUCUCCAUGCUACAGUGGGUUGUCCUGCACCAAUUCACAUACAGGCAGCAUAGCAUGGACACACUGGGAAACCACAAGAAGUUGAGAGGGAAAGUGGGUGUAACUGAAGGAUGCGAAACUGGGUGAUCAAAACACCUUGUAUCCAUGCAUGAAGUGCUCAAGUAACCAAAGAUUCAGUUGCUAAAUAAAG
rnacentral:lncRNA from 1 species